CAGGCACAGCCUUUGGGAGCAUCUGUGUAGGAGUGCCAGUCUCCUGUGCUGCAAGGGUAUGGCCAGUAUGGAAAUUGAUAUGCAGUGCAGGAAGGGUGCCUGUGCCCGCAUUGCCAAAGGAGUGCAUGGUCAGCAGAGCUUGCCCGUCCAUCCCUGGCCGCAGCGCAUUGGUUUCCUGUACUCUGCCAUUGAAACCCCCCAGAGAAUCUGCGUGCCCCGGGACCAUGGAGCUGCACUCGCCCCAGAAGAGGGAACGGUGAGCAGCCAUCAUCUGCCAUCCAGGUCUGUCCCCUUCCUGCCUUUUGGAGGGGCUGGGGGCAGUGGAGCCGUUUCCACCCAGCAGCCGGUGAGGGUGUAAGGGCCUGUAGGUGUGAUGAGGACAUGGGCUCCGCACAGUGGGGCAGGUGUGCAAGAGGUGUGUGUGUAAGCACUGCUCCUGCCCGAGGGUCACGCUGGAUCUUACACAGGAUCACACUACGGUUUUUUGGGGUGCUCAGUGCCAGCAGCCCCAUGCUCUCUUACGCCAAUGAGAGCAAAAGAACUGAGCUGAAGCUGGGAGGAAGGAGAGCAGCUGGCAGUGGCAUGGGGCCACUCCGUGGUGCCACUCAGCCCCAGCCACGUGGGGGGCAUGGGCUGACAGGAGGCACAGGGUGGUAGGAAGGUGAUGGCUCUUUUUGCUGCCAGCACUGGCUGUGACACUUGGAACUGGCAUGGAAAUCAUGGGCAAUGUGAAAAAAAACAAAGGAAGAAAUGACUUGGAGCUGUGCAUAACCUGUCCUUGUUAAGCAGAGGAAAAUGACUGUGCUUUUUUCUUUAAAACCCGAAAUACUCGGCAGCUUGCCCUUCAUGACUGUGUACGCUCCAGCGUGGCCUUUAAUCAGGCAGAAAUGGGACAUUUCCUCAGUAGCAGACCAGUGCCACGCUCCAUCUCACAGCGCCCAGCAUGUGCCAGCCUGGCACCACGUACGUGCAGCUCCCCGCGCCUGCCUUACUCGAAGAACAUAAAGUAGGUGGAUUUAGUGCUGUCGUGAGGUUAGAUAUAAACACGUGCCUUUCACUCUCGCAACCAAGUGGUACGAGGAAGUCAAUUCAUAGCUAUCUGCCCCACACAUCUAUCUGCACCUGAUAAAAUCUGCGGUCUGUACCCAGGCGCACAGCUGAUGUGAGCCCCGUCAGCACGGCAAGCCCACGCGUGGGCAGCACGGCUCUUCUUGUUCUUGCCCUUAUGAGUGCUGUUACCCGUUCCUAAGGCCGUGGGUCAGCAGGCUGAUUUAUGCUUUGUUUAACAAUAAGGUCACCCGCCAAAUAACCUUCCCCACUAAUUGGGGAUGUGGUCAGUGUCUACGGGCCGCCCUGCUCUGCCGGUCCAAUUUAAUGUUGUUAUUGCCAUGGGAAUUUCAGCUCAGUGCACGGGCAGCCUACUCCAUGCUAAUUAAAGUUCCCUUCACUGAUUGUCACAGCUGUCCAUGCUUAUUAAACUUCCCAUUCAUUUCAGUAAGACAGCAGCGACUAGAUGUGCGCCAGAAACCAGUCCUUUGAAGUGACAAUCUGAAUUCAUCAGACUUUAUCACACAGGCACUUCAGUUUCUGAGAAACUAUUAAUACUACAUCCCUUCUCCCACACCCAACCUUUCACUACAUUUAAUGCAAUCUGUCAUUUGCUGUCUCAAUAUGCCCCUCUGUACCACUGGCAUUAGCACUGUAGCUUUUUCUAAAUAAACACACUGAAGACUUAAGCUCCAACAGAUAGAAGUGCAUCCUCUCUCUGGCUUAGAGUGCCACUGCUAGAGAAGGGAAAUCUGUUCCUCUUUGGGCUGAUGCAAAUUUUGACUAAACAGCCACCACUGCUGAUACUGGAUUUGCAAGCUAAUGCAAAUGGGCAAUGCUGCUCAUAGCAGCCAGCACGAGGAUUAGUCACGCCAGGGCUUCGAAGUAAGCAGAGUGUUCAAGGGAAUUAUCUUUGUGAGGGCCACCAGCACAGCCCUCUCAACAAAACUGGUGAUGGAAAAGAUAUCUUACACUGGAUGGUCCAGCUCCUUGUAAGAAUACUUUGUAAUAAAUUGUCAUGUGCUUUGCAUAGUCUGCUUUAAAUGUUCCCAAGGAAAGGGGUCCCUUAAAUAUGGUCAGUACUGGGACCUGCAGUUGCUAACUGCAUCUAGUUAAGAGUUACUCAAGUCUUGUUCCUGUCUCUUGAGCCUGCUACCAAUGUGGUUUUUUCUCACUCACCAAUAGUUAUAAAAAUGUUGUCUUCUCCAUAUUCUCACUUUUUAAGGCUAAAAUUAUAAAUUAAAGCUACAUUAUAAAAUUUCAAUAAUAUUUACUAUUUAUUCUCAGUUUAAACCACUCAAUCCUCAUCUGAAUGCCUUUCCUUCUUGAGUACAUUGGCAUCAGAAUAAUUUGUCAGCUUUUUCACUGAUUGCAUCUCUAGUCUGCCUUCUGAACUGUGGCAUUACCAAAAUAACUUAUUAUUUAGAAAUGGAUUUCAGCAGCUAGAACCCCUUUCCUGCAGGAGGGCUUUCCAGAGCUCACCUGUUUUGUUCUUGCUUUAGGCAGGAAUUUGAGAAUGAUGAAGGCUCAGAGUAAUUUUAUCUACUAAGAUGUAAACUACAUACUUCAUUUAUCAUUUUAAAUACUGUAAUUACUUCUUAAAAUGAGAUUAUUCAUCAGGCCCAUGACACUGCUGAUAACAGUGUUAGCUUUCCCCAUGUGUGACGGAAACCAAUUAUU